UUGUUCUUUUUAUCUGUUGUUCUUGCAUCUUGGAGUGUAGUGCCAGAUUAGCUGUCAAUUUUUUGGACAGCGGCCCCUCCUCUUCUCCAUGAGCAAGCACUCCGGCCAUAGCCUCGUCUCUUCUCCUCUCUGGUCGCCAUGGAGCGUUGGAGCCCUUGAAGCAUUCGAAUGGAGCACAUAUUGGCAUGCUCGGUUCAUCUUAGGUGAGUGUGAAUGUUGAAGUGUGAUCUCGUAGCAUUAGGCUUACAAUUUAAGAGAUCUUCCAAUCCAUUUUUUCUGGAUUUCGGGGAUGUGUACAGUGGAAAACUAUAGAUAAAUAAUAUUUCUUUGUUCUUCUUUCAUGUUUGAGAGAGUGACAAUACCUACAUUCCUAUUAGUGGGCUGUAUAUAUUCUCUAGCUGCUUGCAGUUUUCUUUCUUGCAGUAAUUUAUUUGACAUUUGUAACAGCAAAAUGAUAUGUCAACAUGCUCUGAUUUUUUAUGGCACUUCUAGAGAUUUCUUCUCAUAUUAUAGAUGGUGUGUGAUCUACUUCUUGACAUAUCCCUAGGCAUCUUGACAUAUCCCUAGACAUGUUCUCAUGUUCAGCGCAUCCAGUUUGGUUGAUUAUUUUGCGAGGCUUAUUUUGGAAAGGCUGCCUGAAUCACCAACUUAUGUUAAUUUUGCAUAGGGCUACAGAUUACAAUCAAACAAUCUACAGCUUAGCACUGUUGUAUUUCCUGGAUUCUCCAAUUUGGGAUCUGAGCAUUGAGGCGUUGAAUAUGUCUAUAUGAACUGUAGUAAUAUAUUUCCUGCUACUCGAGCUAUCUCUCUCUCUCUCUCGGACGUCUUGGUUUGCAGGCCGCUGCCUGGUGAGGUACUGACUAAGGAGCACAAGUCGCCACCACCACGUACCAGACGAUGCCGUCAAGGUCGGCGUCAUAGUGACUGUCGAUGACUUGCAGCUGAUGCAUUGAUCAACACCAGUCUGGCAGAAUUGAGCUAUAAAUAUGUUAACAUCGAUGAUUGGUGGGCAGAAUUAAAGAGGGAUUACCAAGUAAGGAGAUACACCUGAGCAUUGGUAACUAUCGUGCAUCUUCUUGCACUCUGUUGCGAGAGACCUCGACAACGCCAAGCUACACGGAAGGGAGGCCGUCUGUCUGGUUGGUGUGCGCGCGCCCAACAUCAACUCACCUGCCAUGCCUCUCCGGUCGUCGCUGGAGCCGGACAAGGUAAUGGCUUACCUUACCUGGUGAGUACUGAGUAGGAAGAGCGCAGGACACUACCACCACCACCAGGUACUAGAGGGCACCAUUAAGUAUGUCGUCGUACUGAUUGCCGAUAACGUACAGGUCCAUCUCUUUGCUGUCUCUCUCUCUCUCUCUCUAUGUGUGUGUAGUUCUGGAUUAGGCUUAUCUGAACUACUUAAUGUGACAACAUAUCUUAAACAAGCUUUGUGAUUUCCUAUGCUCUCUUAUAUUAUCAAAGAAAAAAGAACCGCCCUUAUAUUAUACUCCCUCCGUCCCAAAAUUAUUGUCUUAGAUUUGUCUAAAUACGAAUGUAUCAAGUCACG